rnacentral:rRNA from 1 species
CAACCUCAAAUUAAGCGAGACUACCCGCUGAAUUUAAGCAUAUUAGUAAGCGGAGGAAAAGAAACUAACAAGGAUUUCCUUGGUAGCGGCGAGCGACCAGGAAAAAGCCCAGCACUGAAUUUAAGUAGCUUAACGUUACUUAAAAAUGUAGUGUUCAGGAGGGUUUAAAACAUUACAAUUGUUCAAAUUGUCCAAGUCUAUCUUGAACGGGGCCACGGCCCAAAGAAGGUGCCAGGCCCGUAGUUGGCAAUUGACAAUUGUAUUUAAACCUCUCUUUAGAGUGCAACUCUAAGAAGGUGGUAAACUCCAUCUAAGGCUAAAUAUAACCACGAGACCGAUAGUAAACAAGUACCGUGAGGGAAAGUUGAAAAGAACUUUGAAGAGAGAGUUCAAUAGUACGUGAAACCGUUUAGGGGUAAACGGAAAAGCUCUAAAAAUUCGAAAAGAAAGAUUCAAGUCAUCACGUCGUCUUUAAAACAAUUUGUUUAGAUUGAUGUAGAAUUUAAUUGGCUUUGGUUAAUUUAAAUCUCUUGUCUUCUAACUAAUUGUGGCGGAGACGCGGUUGACCGCAUUUCUUUCUUAGUAGGACGUCGCGACCCGCUGAUAAGUUAGCUAAUGAUAUAACCAAAAGUCGGUGUCCAGACUACUGAGUGUUACAACUCAACUGGAUCCGGUGGAAUUAUGUUGGCAAUUUUAUCGGCGGUAGAUUACGACAGUGGUGAACCGCUUUUUUUAAGCGUUACUACACUUGUACAAGCUGUGUACUUGUUUUAUUAAUUCUAGACAAUUGUCUAAUUUUUAAACAUUAUAUAGCUGUUGGUACAAAUUGUGUUUUAACAGAGUUUACAACACUGGUCAGCGACGAGAAUUUUAGAAACUUUUCCGGCCCGUCGAAACACCCAAGGAGUCCAACAUGUGCGCAAGUUAUUGGAUUAUUAAAAUCUAAAGGCGAAACAAAAGUGAAAAAAGCUUUGCUUAAAUAAAGGGAAGAUGGUUUGUUAUUUUUUUCUUUUUAGGAAAAAAACAAGCCCGCAUUCCCGGGGCGUCUGUAACUCAUUGCGAGUUUAGGCGCACCUAGAGCGUACACGUUGGGACCCGAAAGAUGGUGAACUAUGCCUGGCCAGGGCGAAGCUAGGGGAAACCCUGGUGGAGGCCCGUAGCGAUUCUGACGUGCAAAUCGAUCGUCAGAGCUGGGUAUAGGGGCGAAAGACUAAUCGAACCAUCUAGUAGCUGGUUCCCUCCGAAGUUUCCCUCAGGAUAGCUGGUGUUUAUGAGAAAAGAAUCUCAUCUGGUAAAGCGAAUGAUUAGAGGCCUUGGGGUCGAAACGAUUUCAACCUAUUCUCAAACUAUUAAUAGAUGAGAAAUUGAGCUUGUUUAAAAUGUAAAGCUUGAGCUUUGAUCAAAACGCCAAGUGGGCCAAUUUUGGUAAUGUGGGAUGAACCAAACGUAGAGUUAAGGCGCCUAAAUCGACGCUCAUGAGACACCAUAAAAGGCGUUGGUUGCUUAAGACAGCAGGACGGUGGCCAUGGAAGUCGGAAUCCGCUAAGGAGUGUGUAACAACUCACCUGCCGAAGCAACUAGCCCUAAAAAUGGAUGGCGCUUGAGCGUCGUGCCUAUACUCUACCGUCAACGGCAAAUUGGGUGGUUUUAAAUUAAUUUUUAAUUUAAAACAACGCCAUGACGCCUUGACGAGUAGGAGGGUCACGGCGAUGAGCGUAGAAGGGUCUGGGCGUAAGCCUGCCUGGAGCCGUCGCCGGUGCAGAUCUUGGUGGUAGUAGCAAAUACUCUAGCGAGAACCUGGAGGACUGAUGUGGAGAAGGGUUUCUUGUGAACAGUUGUUGCACAAGAGUCAGUCGAUCCUAAGCUCUAAGAGAAAUCUUAACAAUGAACGCCUUAUCUUUGAUAAAUAAAAACUAUUAUAAAGUUUUUUCUUUUUGGUAUUAUGUGUUGGCGUUCAAAGAGCGAAAGGGAAUCCGGUCCCUAUUCCGGAACCCGGUAGCGGAACCGUUCUAUUUCGGGCCCUCAAUUUGAGAGUUCGUCGGGGUAACCCGAAAAGACCCGGAGAAGCCGUUGGAAAAGCCGGAGAGAGUUGUCUCUUCUCUAUAAGCGUUCGAAUUCCCUGGAAUCCUCUAGAAGGGAGAUAGGGAACGGAACGCAAAGAGCACCGCAGUUACGGCGGUGUCCGGAUCUUUUCUUCGGACCUUGAAAAUCCGGGAGAGGGCCACGAGGAACCCCGCACCGGAUCGUACCCAUAUCCGCAGCAGGUCUCCAAGGUUCAAAGCCUCUAGUCGAUAGAAUAAUGUAAGUAAGGGAAGUCGGCAACUCCGAUCCGUACCUUCGGAAGAAGGAUUGGCUCUGAGGAUCGUGGUGUGCCGGGCUUGGUUGGAAAGUGGAGCGGUGUCAACGUGCCGGGCCUGGGCGGAGUGAAAAACUUUGUUUUCGGACUUGGUUUGAAUCAAAGCUCGGUCCCGUGCCUUGACCUCCCAUGGAUCUUCCUUGC